ACGCUCGACACCUACUGGAGGCAGCAGUGGGGAAUAUUGCACAAUGGGGGAAACCCUGAUGCAGCGACGCCGCGUGAGCGAAGAAGUAUUUCGGUAUGUAAAGCUCUAUCAGCAGGGAAGAAAAUGACGGUACCUGACUAAGAAGCCCCGGCUAACUACGUGCCAACAGCCGCGGUAAUCUGAGCGGGCGUGGCAAGGC
rnacentral:rRNA from 1 species